rnacentral:rRNA from 1 species
AAGACUUCGGUCAAGUUGAACGGAUGACUUAGUGGCGGACGGGUGAGUAACGCGUGAGGAACCUGCCUUUCAGUGGGGGACAACAGUUGGAAACGACUGCUAAUACCGCAUGACGCAUAGGGGUCGCAUGAUCUUUAUGCCAAAGAUUUAUCGCUUCAAGAUGGCCUCGCGUCUGAUUAGCUAGUUGGUGGGGUAACGGCCUACCAAGUCGACGAUCAGUAGCCGGACUGAGAGGUUGAACGGCCACAUUGGAACUGAGAAACGGUCCAGACUCC